GUGGUGGAAUUACAAGUCACCUUGCAGCAAGUUUUUGUACCAGCCUUGACUGACCCUCAAAGCACAGAAUUCAAAACGCUAUCAGAAACCAUUACCAUAUUUUGUGACACAAUCUUCCGACAAAGAUAUGGGCUUAGUUUCGUUCAGACGACUGUUACUCAAUUCAGACUGUGCCCCGUCUCGGUCAGGAUCCUUACACAGAGGUGGAGUUGGAACUGGAGUUCAAUGCGACCUCCACUGUACCUAUCCCCAAGGGCAGUGACAUUGUUGAUA